UGAUGUCAAUGAUGGUUUAUUACCUACAUUGUUUGAUUCGAUGUGAUAACAUUUUGUUCACUGAGACAUUG
rnacentral:snoRNA from 1 species